rnacentral:lncRNA from 1 species
CGCUCCUGCAAAUACUUGUCAACCUGUUUCUUCAGCUCGAAUAGCAGGUCAUCACUGACUGCCUGGAUAUCAAUCUCUAUCUCUCCAUCACCAGCAGUAUCUGUAUUGCUGUCCAUGCAUUGCUGCAGCAGUUCAACGAUGUGAGCAGGUAAAUCAUCGGCUAUUUCUGCCAAUGAAUUCCCAAAGGCUUCUCUCUCAGCAGCUGUCAUCUUCGGCUUUACAGGCUCUGUUUGCCGUAGACCCUCCACUGACACAUCACUGCGGUCCACGGGAGGAGUUUUCCUCCUCUUUGAGUCAGCCUUGUCAACAUCAACAUGCUUCUCAAUGGCUGCAGAAGCCAACUUCUUCUCAACUGUUCUCCAUCUAUUUUCA